rnacentral:rRNA from 2 species
UUUUAUGAGAGUUUGAUCCUGGCUCAGGACGAACGCUGGCGGCGUGCCUAAUACAUGCAAGUCGAACGCUUCUUUUUCCACCGGAGCUUGCUCCACCGGAAAAAGAGGAGUGGCGAACGGGUGAGUAACACGUGGGUAACCUGCCCAUCAGAAGGGGAUAACACUUGGAAACAGGUGCUAAUACCGUAUAACAAUCAAAACCGCAUGGUUUUGAUUUGAAAGGCGCUUUCGGGUGUCGCUGAUGGAUGGACCCGCGGUGCAUUAGCUAGUUGGUGAGGUAACGGCUCACCAAGGCCACGAUGCAUAGCCGACCUGAGAGGGUGAUCGGCCACAUUGGGACUGAGACACGGCCCAAACUCCUACGGGAGGCAGCAGUAGGGAAUCUUCGGCAAUGGACGAAAGUCUGACCGAGCAACGCCGCGUGAGUGAAGAAGGUUUUCGGAUCGUAAAACUCUGUUGUUAGAGAAGAACAAGGAUGAGAGUAACUGUUCAUCCCUUGACGGUAUCUAACCAGAAAGCCACGGCUAACUACGUGCCAGCAGCCGCGGUAAUACGUAGGUGGCAAGCGUUGUCCGGAUUUAUUGGGCGUAAAGCGAGCGCAGGCGGUUUCUUAAGUCUGAUGUGAAAGCCCCCGGCUCAACCGGGGAGGGUCAUUGGAAACUGGGAGACUUGAGUGCAGAAGAGGAGAGUGGAAUUCCAUGUGUAGCGGUGAAAUGCGUAGAUAUAUGGAGGAACACCAGUGGCGAAGGCGGCUCUCUGGUCUGUAACUGACGCUGAGGCUCGAAAGCGUGGGGAGCAAACAGGAUUAGAUACCCUGGUAGUCCACGCCGUAAACGAUGAGUGCUAAGUGUUGGAGGGUUUCCGCCCUUCAGUGCUGCAGCUAACGCAUUAAGCACUCCGCCUGGGGAGUACGACCGCAAGGUUGAAACUCAAAGGAAUUGACGGGGGCCCGCACAAGCGGUGGAGCAUGUGGUUUAAUUCGAAGCAACGCGAAGAACCUUACCAGGUCUUGACAUCCUUUGACCACUCUAGAGAUAGAGCUUCCCCUUCGGGGGCAAAGUGACAGGUGGUGCAUGGUUGUCGUCAGCUCGUGUCGUGAGAUGUUGGGUUAAGUCCCGCAACGAGCGCAACCCUUAUUGUUAGUUGCCAUCAUUCAGUUGGGCACUCUAGCAAGACUGCCGGUGACAAACCGGAGGAAGGUGGGGAUGACGUCAAAUCAUCAUGCCCCUUAUGACCUGGGCUACACACGUGCUACAAUGGGAAGUACAACGAGU